GCCAGGGUAGCGCAGUGGUUAGCGCAUCUGCCUUGAGAACAGGAGACCUGGGUUCAAAUGCCAACCUUGACA